GGGCGGUUAGCUCAGCGGUAGAGCACUACCUUGACAUGGUAGGGGUCACAGGUUCGAACCCUGUACCGCCCA
rfam:Pseudoxanthomonas suwonensis strain J1, complete genome.